ACAUACAUAGUGCAUAUAGCCACAUUUCUCUUCACUUUUAAACAACAGCAUUGAAUACUAGGAUUAUGUUCAAUUUGUUCUUUCUAUGUCAAUUAAAAUGUUUGUGCUAUCUGACAGAUAUUUCAAAAUUUAAAGAAAUUUAUAAUGCAGCGUACGUAAUUAAAUUUUACAAGUUCAAUUUACGCUAUGUGCAAAUUUCUGAAAUACAAUUCUUGUUGUUUGUAACAUUACAUUGAAGAACAAUGGUUUUGAUACGAUCUAACAGUUUGGCCUUAUUUUGAUACUUGUAAUUCAGAAAAUAUUUCAAAAUUGAAACUACUUGUUGCCCACGUUUAGUAUUUGAAAUGCUAGCUAUAUACUUGUUGUCCCUACUUGUUUCUGAUCCUUUAUUUCUCAACCUUGAAUGGAUUUGUACUUGAUAAGCCCUUACCAAAAUUUGGUUUUUGUCUCUAGAAGAGGUUCAGGAGCUAUGACUAAUGAGAAUUUGCUAGUGAAAAUGGCAAAGAUUUAAGAAAUGGAAUAAGAACAGAAUUGGCAAAGAUUUAGAGUUAUUAAAUGAAUGUGAUGUUGUGUUUGGUGUUCAUGGAGCUGCACUGACACAUUUUAUGUUCAUGAAACCAAGUUUUGUGUUCAUUCAAAUUGU
rnacentral:lncRNA from 1 species